GGGUUGUGAGGUUAAGCGACUAAGCGUACACGGUGGAUGCCCUGGCAGUCAGAGGCGAUGAAGGGCGUGCUAAUCUGCGAUAAGCGCCGGUAAGGUGAUAUGAACCGUUAUAACCGGCGAUACCCGAAUGGGGAAACCCAGUGUGAUUCGUCACACUAUCAUUAACUGAAUCCAUAGGUUAAUGAGGCGAACCGGGGGAACUGAAACAUCUAAGUACCCCGAGGAAAAGAAAUCAACCGAGAUUCCCCCAGUAGCGGCGAGCGAACGGGGAGGAGCCCAGAGCCUGAAUCAGCAUGUGUGUUAGUGGAAGCGUCUGGAAAGGCGCGCGAUACAGGGUGACAGCCCCGUACACAAAAGCGCAUGUGCUGUGAGCUCGAUGAGUAGGGCGGGACACGUGGUAUCCUGUCUGAAUAUGGGGGGACCAUCCUCCAAGGCUAAAUACUCCUGACUGACCGAUAGUGAACCAGUACCGUGAGGGAAAGGCGAAAAGAACCCCGGCGAGGGGAGUGAAAAAGAACCUGAAACCGUGUACGUACAAGCAGUGGGAGCACCCUUUGGGUGUGACUGCGUACCUUUUGUAUAAUGGGUCAGCGACUUAUAUUCUGUAGCAAGGUUAACCGAAUAGGGGAGCCGGAGGGAAACCGAGUCUUAACCGGGCGUUAAGUUGCAGGGUAUAGACCCGAAACCCGGUGAUCUAGCCAUGGGCAGGUUGAAGGUUGGGUAACACUAACUGGAGGACCGAACCGACUAAUGUUGAAAAAUUAGCGGAUGACCUGUGGCUGGGGGUGAAAGGCCAAUCAAACCGGGAGAUAGCUGGUUCUCCCCGAAAGCUAUUUAGGUAGCGCCUCGUGAAUUCAUCUCCGGGGGUAGAGCACUGUUUCGGCUAGGGGGCCAUCCCGGCUUACCAACCCGAUGCAAACUGCGAAUACCGGAGAAUGUUAUCACGGGAGACACACGGCGGGUGCUAACGUCCGUCGUGAAGAGGGAAACAACCCAGACCGCCAGCUAAGGUCCCAAAGUCAUGGUUAAGUGGGAAACGAUGUGGGAAGGCCCAGACAGCCAGGAUGUUGGCUUAGAAGCAGCCAUCAUUUAAAGAAAGCGUAAUAGCUCACUGGUCGAGUCGGCCUGCGCGGAAGAUGUAACGGGGCUAAACCAUGCACCGAAGCUGCGGCAGCGACACUGUGUGUUGUUGGGUAGGGGAGCGUUCUGUAAGCCUGUGAAGGUGUGUCGUGAGGCAUGCUGGAGGUAUCAGAAGUGCGAAUGCUGACAUAAGUAACGAUAAAGCGGGUGAAAAGCCCGCUCGCCGGAAGACCAAGGGUUCCUGUCCAACGUUAAUCGGGGCAGGGUGAGUCGACCCCUAAGGCGAGGCCGAAAGGCGUAGUCGAUGGGAAACGGGUUAAUAUUCCCGUACUUGGUGUUACUGCGAAGGGGGGACGGAGAAGGCUAUGUUGGCCGGG
rnacentral:rRNA from 2 species